CGGAGUCGGUUCGUUGCUAGUCAGGGCGCCCGCACUGCGCCGCUGGGGCUACGAGGAGCUCUGCUCAGAGUAACCAGGCUGCGCAGGCAGCGCCAUAGACAGCUAUGGCGGGGUCUUGAGAGGCCGGCGGGGGCACCGCCUUCUCUCGCGACCCCGCCCGUAGGACAGACGGUUGGUGGCGCGUGCGGCGGAGGCUGCUAACAUGACUUUGCUCUGUCAAACAAAUUUUAUCUGGAAAGAAUAAAGCAGAUGUAAUGUCUGUUUUAAAAUAAAUGAAGUACUGACAAAUAUUGAGCUUCGACAGGUACACAUAACAUGAAUUAAUUGUUCUCUGUUCUGUUACAAUCAACUUAAGUGUUACUUGUAACAAUAAUCGGUUAAUUAAAAAUCAGGUACUGAGGUCUCUUUAGAUUGAUAAUACAACUUAACUUUUUGUUUCUUUUUAAAAAGGGGAACGCCACAAAAGGAUGUCGUUAUAAAACCUGAUGCACCAAGCACCUUGUUUUUGGAGAAACAUGCAGAUUACAUAGCUUCUUAUGGUGCAAAGAAAGACGAUUAUGAGUACUGUAUGUCGGAAUAUUUGAGGAUGAGUGGUGUCUACUGGGGACUGACUGUAAUGGAUCUCAUGAGACAGCUGCAACGAAUGACCAAAGAAGAAAUCUAGCAUUCAUGAAAUCAUGUCAACAUGAGAGCGGUGGAAUAAGUGCCAGUAUAGGUCACAAUCUCACCUUUUAUAUACCCUUAGUGCUGUCCAGAUUCUUACCUUAUGUUGUUGAUGUCAUAAAAUUGUUGACUACGUAAAAAGCCUGCAAAAAGAAGAUGGAUCAUCUGCUGGAGACAAAUGGGGUAACAUAUCCUCGAAAUCUCAUGGAUGGAUUGACACAUUUCAUAUAAUAAAGCAGUUAAGAAGUCGCUCUGCAUGUUUUUUCACUAUGUAUUAUGCAUGAACUGCAUUUAUGUCCCUCACUGUAAAAAAGAGCCAUUGUGUAACAGCCAGUCACGUCAUUGCUUUUCUAGAUGACUCAACUUAGAGAAAAAUUGAUAUAAAUAACAAAUUGAUCAACCUUCAUAGAAGCUUCUGAAAGCUGAAAACUUGUUAGAGCUUGUGAUGGGGAAGUGCCUUUUCAUUUCAGUGUAAUUUGUACUAGAUAUUAAUCUUUGAGUUUAAUAUCUAGUGAUUUGUAAGUUGUAUAUAUUUAUUGCUUGUAAAAGGAACUACCUCUCUGCAUAGUAAUGACACCUAUCUGUGUCUGCUUUCACAGCUUCUAAAAAUACUGAUCUCGUUUGAUUUUUAUUUUUACAGGGUAUGUUUGUUCACAUUUUCUUCUAUUGACAUUUUAAAGUAUUUUUUAUAUGAAAUAUUAAAAUAUUUCAGUAUUGUAUCCUGUUGAAUAUCAGUUACAACAGAACCAUUGUUUCAUUUUUCAAUUAAUAAAAUGAACUGAUCGAGA